GCCAGGCAUGGUGGUGCAUGCCUAUAGUCCCAGCUAUCAGGAGGAUGAGGCAGUAGGAUUACUUGAGCCCAGGAGUUCUCGGCUGUAAUGUGCUAUACCAAUCGGUUUGUCUGCAGUAAGUUUGACAUCAACAUGGUGACCUCCUGGGAGCAGGGGACCAUCAGUUGCCUAAGGAGAAGUGAACCAGCCCAGGUCGGAAACAAGCAGGUCAAAACUCCUGUGCUGAUCAGUAAUGGGAUCACACCUGUGAAUAGCCAUUGCACUCUAGCCUGGGCAACACAGCGAGACCCAUCUCA
rnacentral:SRP_RNA from 1 species